ACGGAAGGCAGCAGUGGGGAAUAUUGGGCAAUGGAGGAAACUCUGACCCAGCAACGCCGCGUGAAGGAUGAAGGUCUUCGGAUUGUAAACUUCUUUUCUAAAGGACGAACACAAUGACGGUACUUUAGGAAUAAGCCCCGGCAAACUAUGUGCCAGCAGCCGCGGUGAUACAUAGGGGGCAAGCGUUGUCCGGAAUGACUGGGCGUAAAGGGAGUGUAGGCGGUUAUUUAAGUUAAAUGUGAAAGCCCAUGGCUUAACCAUGGAAUUGCAUUUAAUACUGGAUGACUUGAGUGUGGGAGAGGUAAGUGGAAUUCCUAGUGUAGCGGUUAAAUGCAUAGAUAUUAGGAGGAACAUCAGUGGCGAAGGCGACUUACUGGAACAUAACUGACGCUGAGGCUCGAAAGCGUGGGGAGCAAACAGGAUUAGAUACCCUGGUA
rnacentral:rRNA from 1 species